UGAGCCAUGCCAUGGGAUGAACCUGCUCUGGGGCUGUGUUUGUGGAGCCUGUGCUGGGCACAGGGGAGCACUGCUGAGAGGAAAGGGCUCUGACAGGCAUUCCUGGGAAAGGCUGGAUGAAAGGCAGGAGUAGCAAACCGGAGAGGACAAAACAAGCCCAGAUUAGCUCAGGAACCCCCCUGGCAGCACCAGGACCUGCAGACAGCUCUCUGAGGCAGGCAGCCAUGGCCCUGGGGAUGGGAUGCCUCGGCCUUUGGGGCUCCUUUACCAUUACAGCUCUUUCUGUCAGGCUGCUUCAGCAUCUGCCCAGAGCAAUGAGGAUUUUUCCCCAACAGAGACCCUUUCUCUGAGCACUGACAAGUCCCAGGCCUUGAAGGAGGAGUCAGGGAACAAAAGGCUACGAGAGAGAAGAAAGAAGUUGCAAAGCAGGAAGAGAAAAGGAGUGGUGAUUAGCUAUUCCUCUGCAUCAUCACACAGGGAUAGAUGUGUCAAACGAGCACAGAUUACUGUCGCUAUUAAGGUCACCUGCAGGAGCUACUCCGGAUUCCCUCUGAUAGCACAAACCCCGAGCCUAUUCAAGCAACAUAAAGUAAGGACAGGCUGUGACAAAUUUCUAAGCUACUUCCCCAGCGUUUAUCCCACCUCAGCCAUGAAUCCCCUGAUUCAGUGUGCUGAGCACACGGAGCAGGGGCUGCCAGGGUGGGCACGGCCAACAUUCGGGAAAAUCUGGCGUCUCCGGUGUUUGCCGACGGCAAUGGAAAUUAUAUUUGUUUUCUGA
rnacentral:lncRNA from 1 species